rnacentral:antisense_RNA from 1 species
CUUGAUCGAGCCGAGCAGCAGGGGCUGCCCGUCGCUGCGGCCCUGGCCGUAUGUGGCCAGCAGGGCCUGCGCCUC